AUUGAACGCUUGCGGCAGGCUUAACACAUGCAAGUCGAACGAUGAUUAUCUAGCUUGCUAGAUAUGAUUAGUGGCGGACGGGUGAGUAACAUUUAGGAAUCUGCCUAGUAGUGGGGGAUAGCUCGGGGAAACUCGAAUUAAUACCGCAUACGACCUACGGGUGAAAGGGGGCGCAAGCUCUUGCUAUUAGAUGAGCCUAAAUCAGAUUAGCUAGUUGGUGGGGUAAAGGCCCACCAAGGCGACGAUCUGUAACUGGUCUGAGAGGAUGAUCAGUCACACCGGAACUGAGACACGGUCCGGACUCCUACGGGAGGCAGCAGUGGGGAAUAUUGGACAAUGGGGGCAACCCUGAUCCAGCCAUGCCGCGUGUGUGAAGAAGGCCUUUUGGUUGUAAAGCACUUUAAGCAGGGAGGAGAGGCUAAUGGUUAAUACCCAUUAGAUUAGACGUUACCUGCAGAAUAAGCACCGGCUAACUCUGUGCCAGCAGCCGCGGUAAUACAGAGGGUGCGAGCGUUAAUCGGAAUUACUGGGCGUAAAGCGAGUGUAGGUGGCUCAUUAAGUCACAUGUGAAAUCCCCGGGCUUAACCUGGGAACUGCAUGUGAUACUGGUGGUGCUAGAAUAUGUGAGAGGGAAGUAGAAUUCCAGGUGUAGCGGUGAAAUGCGUAGAGAUCUGGAGGAAUACCGAUGGCGAAGGCAGCUUCCUGGCAUAAUAUUGACACUGAGAUUCGAAAGCGUGGGUAGCAAACAGGAUUAGAUACCCUGGUAGUCCACGCCGUAAACGAUGUCUACUAGCCGUUGGGGUCCUUGAGACUUUAGUGGCGCAGUCAACGCGAUAAGUAGACCGCCUGGGGAGUACGGCCGCAAGGUUAAAACUCAAAUGAAUUGACGGGGGCCCGCACAAGCGGUGGAGCAUGUGGUUUAAUUCGAUGCAACGCGAAGAACCUUACCUGGUCUUGACAUAGUGAGAAUCCUGCAGAGAUGCGGGAGUACCUUCGGGAAUUCACAUACAGGUGCUGCAUGGCUGUCGUCAGCUCGUGUCGUGAGAUGUUGGGUUAAGUCCCGCAACGAGCGCAACCCUUUUCCUUAUUUGCCAGCGGGUUAAGCCGGGAACUUCAAGGAUACUGCCAGUGACAAACUGGAGGAAGGCGGGGACGACGUCAAGUCAUCAUGGCCCUUACGACCAGGGCUACACACGUGCUACAAUGGUAGGUACAGAGGGUUGCUACACAGCGAUGUGAUGCUAAUCUCAAAAAGCCUAUCGUAGUCCCGAUUGGAGUCUGCAACUCGACUCCAUGAAGUCGGAAUCGCUAGUAAUCGCAGAUCAGAAUGCUGCGGUGAAUACGUUCCCGGGCCU
rnacentral:rRNA from 1 species